GUUCGGAUUGUAGGCUGCAACUCGCCUACAUGAAGUUGGAAUCGCUAGUAAUCGCGAAUCAGAAUGUCGCGGUGAAUACGUUCCCGGGUCUUGUACACACCGCCCGUCACACCACGAGAGUUUACAACACCCGAAGUCAGUGGCCUAACCGCAAGGAGGGAGCUGCCUAAGGUGGGGUAGAUGAUUGGGGUGAAGUCGUAACAAGGUAGC
rnacentral:rRNA from 1 species